UAGGUGACUUUUGACCAAAUAGGUAAUAAAAUAAAAAUAGGAUGAUAUCAUCCCUUUUUCAUCUUCUCUCCACCGAUUUUUCCAGCCAAAAAAUGGGUUUUGAAAGCUUCAUAUUUUCAGCAACUUUGAGGCUUAGCAAGGUUUCCAGGUCUGUUCGGGUAGGAGUUCGUCGGAGAUAUUAUCACACUGUCAAGCUAACGCUAUUGGUGUAGUGAUUUCAAGUACUUUGAGUCUAUGGCAUGUAUAGGAGUUUAAAUAUUAGAGUAUGUGAUAUGGAUUUGACCAUAUGUGUUGGCCUAUUUUGAUUAUGGGAUUAUAAAUUCAUUUUAAUUAUUUGAGAUUUCAUGGCCCUAUUUAGUAUAGAAGUGUUAGUAAAAGUUAGGUAGCACCUCGAACCCCGUCCCGGCGUCGGAUGCGGGCGAGAGGUGUUACAUUUAAUGGUAUCAGAGCUACAGUUAGUCGAUUCUAGGACUAACGUAGCACGUGUGAGUCUAGCUAUACAUGCCAUAAAGUGAUAAAAUGAUAGUGUGAUGAUUUCUGACAGUUAAAAUGUGUUUUUCAUAAUAUAAUGAAUUCCAAUCCCGAUCAAGCUAUA